CCUACGGGAGGCAGCAGUGGGGAAUAUUGCACAAUGGGGGAAACCCUGAUGCAGCGACGCCGCGUGAGUGAAGAAGUAUUUCGGUAUGUAAAGCUCUAUCAGCAGGGGAGAAAAUGACGGUACCUGAUUAAGAAGCCCCGGCUAACUACGUGCCAGCAGCCGCGGUCAUACGUAGGGGGCAAGCGUUCUCCGGAUUUACUGGGUGUAAAGGGAGCGUAGACGGCAGCACAAGUCUGGAGUGAAAUGCCGGGGGUUAACCCCGGAACUGCUUUGGAAACUGUGCAGCUAGAGUGCAGGAGAGGUAAGUGGAAUUCCUAGUGUAGCGGUGAAAUGCGUAGAUAUUAGGAGGAACACCAGUGGCGAAGGCGGCUUACUGGACUGUAACUGACGUUGAGGCUCGAAAGCGUGGGGAGCAAACAGGAUUAGAUACCCCAGUAGUC
rnacentral:rRNA from 1 species